rnacentral:rRNA from 1 species
GGGUGCGAUCAUUCCAGCACUAAUGCACCGGAUCCCAUCAGAACUCCACAGUUAAGCGUGCUUGGGUGAGAGUAGUACUAGGAUGGGUGACCUCAUGGGAAGCCCUCGUGUUGCUCCCCUC